GACGAACGCUGGCGGCGUGCUUAACACAUGCAAGUCGAACGGAAAGGCCCUGCUUUUGUGGGAUGCUCGAGUGGCGAACGGGUGAGUAACACGUGAGUAACCUGCCCUUGACUUUGGGAUAACUUCAGGAAACUGGGGCUAAUACCGGAUAGGAGCUCCUGCUGCAUGGGGGGGGUUGGAAAGUUUCGGCGGGUGGGGAUGGACUCGCGGCUUAUCAGCUUGUUGGUGGGGUAGUGGCUUACCAAGGCUUUGACGGGUAGCCGGCCUGAGAGGGUGACCGGCCACAUUGGGACUGAGAUACGGCCCAGACUCCUACGGGAGGCAGCAGUGGGGAAUAUUGCACAAUGAGCGGAAGCCUGAUGCAGCAACGCCGCGUGCGGGAUGACGGCCUUCGGGUUGUAAACCGCUUUCGCCUGUGACGAAGCGUGAGUGACGGUAAUGGGUAAAGAAGCACCGGCUAACUACGUG
rnacentral:rRNA from 1 species